AGAACGAACGCUGGCGGCAGGCUUAACACAUGCAAGUCGAACGCGUGUAGCAAUACACGAGUGGCGCACGGGUGAGUAACGCGUGGAUAUCUGCCUUUUGGUUCGGAAUAACCCCGGGAAACUGGGGCUAAUACCGGAUAGUUCCUACGGGAUAAAGAUUUAUCGCCAAAAGAUGAGUCCGCGUACGAUUAGCUAGUUGGUGAGGUAAUGGCUCACCAAGGCGACGAUCGUUAGCUGGUCUGAGAGGACGAUCAGCCACACUGGGACUGAGACACGGCCCAGACUCCUACGGGAGGCAGCAGUGGGGAAUAUUGGACAAUGGGGGCAACCCUGAUCCAGCCAUGCCGCGUGAGUGAUGAAGGCCUUCGGGUUGUAAAGCUCUUUUGGCGGGACGAUGAUGACGGUACCCGCAGAAUAAGCCCGGCUAACUUCGUGCCAGCAGCCGC
rnacentral:rRNA from 1 species